rnacentral:rRNA from 1 species
GACGAACGCUGGCGGCGUGCUUAACACAUGCAAGUCGAACGGAAAGGCCCCUUUUGGGGUACUCGAGUGGCGAACGGGUGAGUAACACGUGAGUAACCUGCCCUUGACUUCGGGAUAACUUCUGGAAACUGGGGCUAAUACCGGAUAGGAAUCCUUGCUGCAUGGUGGGGGUUGGAAAGCUUCGGCGGUUUUGGAUGGACUCGCGGCUUAUCAGCUUGUUGGUGGGGUAGUGGCUUACCAAGGCUUUGACGGGUAGCCGGCCUGAGAGGGCGACCGGCCACAUUGGGACUGAGAUACGGCCCAGACUCCUACGGGAGGCAGCAGUGGGGAAUAUUGCACAAUGGGCGGAAGCCUGAUGCAGCAACGCCGCGUGCGGGAUGACGGCCUUCGGGUUGUAAACCGCUUUCAGCAGGGGCGAAGCUUUUGUGACGGUACCUGCAGAAGAAGCACCGGCUAACUACGUG